rnacentral:rRNA from 1 species
CUACGGAGGGUGCAAGCGUUAAUCGGAAUUACUGGGCGUAAAGCGUACGUAGGCGGUUCGUUAAGUUAGAUGUGAAAGCCCCGGGCUUAACCUGGGAACUGCAUUUAAAACUGGCGGACUAGAGUUGAGUAGAGGGGAGUGGAAUUUCAGGUGUAGCGGUGAAAUGCGUAGAGAUAUGAAGGAACACCAGUGGCGAAGGCGACUCCCUGGACUCGAACUGACGCUGAGGUACGAAAGCGUGGGUAGCAAACGGGAGUAGAAACCCCAGUAGUCC